GAAAUAUUCAAAUCAUCCAGACAGGUUUGAUGAAUGGAUUCAGGUUCUGAGUGCAGAAGGUCUGACUGGACGUUGUUACUGGGAGGUGGAGUGGAGCGGGAAGGUUUUUGUGUCAGUUGCAUGCAAAGAUAUCAGUCGUACAGGAACCUGUGAUGAAUGUUUGUUUGGAUUUAAUGAUAAAUCCUGGGUAUUAGGAUGUUCAUCCACUGGAUAUGAAUUUUACCACAACAAGAUCAGUGUUUCUAUUUCAGUUCCUCAAUCCUCCAGAGUUGGAGUUUAUUUAAAUCACAGAGCAGGAACUUUGUCUUUCUACAGCGUUUCUGACUCCAUGACUCUCAUACACAAAGUCCAGACCACAUUCACUCAACCUCUGUAUGCUGGAUUCAGGAUUCCAUCAAUGUUUGGAUGGAUCAGGUUGUUGGAUUCAAGUAAAAAUCAGUCACUGAUCUGUGAGUCUCAAUGAUGAAAUAUGUCUGCAGUGUAGAAAACCACAAAUCUGGAAAAUACUGUUUAUGUAACAUCUAAUAAUGUGUUAAAAAUACUUAUACUUUAUUAAUUAAAAUAACACACCAAACACAGGAUUCAUUGUGUAAUUAAAAUGUGAAACAAUAUAAAAAUGUGGUUUUGU